GACGAACGCUGGCGGCGUGCUUAACACAUGCAAGUCGAACGGAAAGGCCCUGCUUUUGUGGGGUGCUCGAGUGGCGAACGGGUGAGUAACACGUGAGUAACCUGCCCUUGACUUUGGGAUAACUUCAGGAAACUGGGGCUAAUACCGGAUAGGAGCUCCUGCUGCAUGGUGGGGGUUGGAAAGUUUCGGCGGUUGGGGAUGGACUCGCGGCUUAUCAGCUUGUUGGUGGGGUAGUGGCUUACCAAGGCUUUGACGGGUAGCCGGCCUGAGAGGGUGACCGGGACGGUUGGGAGUGGGCUACGGCUCUGAGGGGGAGGGGAGGGUGAAGGGGGGAGUGGUGGUGGCGGGACGGCAGGCGGGUGCAGCGUCGGCGCGUGCGGGGUGACGGGCGGGGGGUUGUAACACGAGGCCGUCGGUGAAGAAGCGGGCGUGAGGGUAGUGGGAAGAGAGGAGCCGGGUAAGUAGGUGACGCGAGCCGCGUAAAGGAUAGAGGAACACACUUCUGCAC
rnacentral:rRNA from 1 species